UAUAGCGAUAGGAAAUAGGCGCUUCCGCAUAAUCGGUAUGUGUCGCGCACUAAACUGUUUACGUAUGCACCGGUUAACAACAUCGAUGUGUUCCGGCACUCGCAGUCAGAAAGAAGCUGUGUGUUCACUGUUGGCACAUUGAAUGAUUGACAGCAUUGGAUAAAUAAUGCUCUAUUGGAUAAAUACGUAAAGUACAUUGGACAGCUGAGAUUGUGGUGUGGACAGCUGAGAUUGUGUUUUGGACAGCUGAGAUUGUGACUUGGACAGCUGAGAUUGUGGUGUGGACAGCUGAGAUUGGUGUGGACAGCUGAGAUUGUGGUGUUGACAUCUGAAAUUGGGAUUUGGACAGCUGAGAUUGUGACUUGGACAGCUAAAAUUGUGGUGUGGACUAUUGAUAUUGUGGUGUUGACAACAUAUUGUGGUGUGCACCUGUGAUAUUGUGGUGUGAUAGUUUAAAGUAGCAAAGGUAAAAAACGUUUGACAGCUUAGAUUGUGGCGUGGACAGCUGAUAUUGUGGUGUGGACAGCUGAGAUUGUCAUGUCGACUACUUAUAUUGUGGCUUGCAGAGCUGAUAUUGUGGUGUGAUGGUUUAAAGAACUAAAGAUUAAAUAUGAAGAUCAUAGUGUGUUUGAUGUAAGCAUAGACGAGGUGUGUGAGGACCUGAGAAAUGGCACGCUUCAGUUCAUAUAGAUUUAUUCCUUACUACCUUCCUGUCAACUAUAUCUUCCACAGCAUGAUUCAAUCUAGUCCCAAUCAUUGCCUCUGGUUACCUCACCAGAUGGUCCGUCCACAGAGUCACAAGCAACAGAUACUAAAACUCGGCAAAGUACAUGUACUUCAGACUUCCAGAGGAUAUUGUUAACAAUGAUGAUU